AAGGUGCACAGUAGUAUUUGUGGAAUACCUGGUGGUUUCUUCGGUUUGGGCAAAGUGGAGGGCCCCAGCGGGAGCGCAGUGACCGAGGCAUGCCGGGAAUGGAACAGACACACCAGGAACCAUCCAUUCACCAUGACAAAACAUCUUGAAAAGUUCUCCAUCUUUAGUGAGCUGGGUAUGCUACUCUGAAGUCAAGCAAAGGAGAGAAAAGAAAAGAAAAAUAUUGGCGGAGCAGUAUGGCAAGAACUUAUAACUGUGGGAAAAGUCUGAAAAAAAAAAGCAGUUUGCGCCAGCAACCGCUUCCAGAAAUUUAGAGAGAGAUUGCACGGAGAUAGGGGAAAUUGAGCUUGAAGCUUCUGAAGUAUCCAGAACUUUCUUUUCGUCUGAAGCCGAAAACUAUGAAGAUUUUCGAGAACCAACCGUUUUCUCGCCGGUUCUGUAAUUCGAGUCACAGCAAUCUGUCUUAAACACGAGCCUAGUGGCCGUCUGCAGCCUCAUAACUAU